rnacentral:rRNA from 1 species
CCUACGGGAGGCAGCAGUGAGGAAUAUUGGUCAAUGGACGCAAGUCUGAACCAGCCAUGCCGCGUGCAGGAUGACGGCUCUAUGAGUUGUAAACUGCUUUUGUACGAGGGUAAACCCCGAUACGUGUAUCGGGUUGAAAGUAUCGUACGAAUAAGGAUCGGCUAACUCCGUGCCAGCAGCCGCGGUAAUACGGGGGAUGCAAGCGUUAUCCGGAUUUAUUGGGUUUAAAGGGUGCGUAGGCUGUGAGGUAAGUCAGCGGUGAAAUGCCCCCGCUCAAGGGGGUGAAGUGCCAUUGAUACUGCUUGGCGGGAAGGCGGAUGCGGUGGGAGGAAGGUGUGGUGUAGCGUUGAAAGGAAUAGAUAUAACACAGAACACGGAUUGAGAGGGUAUCUCACGAAUCCGCGAUUGCCGCUGAUGAAC